UAUAAUUAUUCAGUAUUUCUAACAUGGUGAUUUGACCAUUACAAGCCAACCUACUAUUGAGCAGUAAGCAGACAGUUGGAACCUAGUCCAAAAAGGUUGAGAAAAGAUGUGUUGGCCAAGGAUAAAGUAGAAAAUUAGAAACCUUAUUGGCUAUUAAUGGUACCAUAAAGUUUGUUCUUUAAUAUCUUUAACUUCUUCCACUGUUCUCUAUGGUUUGUAUACUUAUAAGUUAUAUUUGAAAAAAAUGUUGGAAAACCUUAAAUGACCAUCAUCGGUCAAUCCAAGGUGCUACGUGGGGCACAACCUUCUGGCAGCUAAGAACCUAGUCAAUUAGUAUUCUCAUUAGUGAUCUUAUAUCUUUCCGACACAUUUCUCUUCCAUUAAUGUUUCUUAAUCAAAUCAACCAAUUUAUAAAGAGAAGUUAAAUUAGCUUGACCUAAAUUUUGUGACUGAAUUAAAUUCAUGCAGGAUUUAUAGCAUGGUAUGCUAAUUUUGAUGAGGAGUACUUGUGCUUGAUUCCCAAGUCACCCUUUUACCUUGAAGGAGCUAGUGGAGAACUUGGAAAUAAGCUAGGCCAGGAUGUGAGUCUGUAUAUCUAAAAAAUCAAGGUAUGGAUGCUACGGUGUUUUCUCUUGCUUUGGUGUUAAAUGUGUUGUUUGUCAUGCCUGGCAAUUGGGAGCAAGUCACCUCUGAAAGUUAGUAGAGGAAGAACUUGAAGAGAAGAAUUUAUGUAGUAGCUAAUUCUAACUUUAAGGCUUGGCUUUGCAGUUGCCAUUAUGCAUACCUAUGAAAGAAGUGCUAGAGUGUUAAUGAUGUUCAAUCAGCCAUGGUAUAUGAAUGCUUUUGUUCAUCAUCCCUUGGUGAUUCUCUUAACAGCUCUGGAGGCUUUUAGCUAUAUGAUGACAUGUGAAAUUAACAAUAUCAAUUGGCAUAUCUGGUGCACUUUUUGACCUAUUGGAAGCCAUGGUUUCUGAGCUUCUUGCUAAUUGGAUAAUCUUUGCAAAGAAGGUAACAUUUUCUUUUUACUCAUUAUAUCUUUGGAUAGUAAAAGUGACAGUUUGAGACUCAAAGCUAAGUAUUUAUCAAAUUAACCUAAACUUGCUUACUCUUAAUUUGUGAGAAUAGGUCUUGACUCCUAAAUAUUCAGUGUGCAGAACUUGUAACUCUCGUGCUCAUUAUAGCUGUAAAUUGUCCCCUCAGAUUUCUACCUCAUGUGAACAAUUCAGCUCAAUUUGAAGGAUUCCUGUCAGGAUUUCCCCUUGGCUUCAUUCUUU